CCUACGGGAGGCAGCAGUGGGGAAUAUUGGACAAUGGGGGCAACCCUGAUCCAGCCAUGCCGCGUGUGUGAAGAAGGCCCUCGGGUUGUAAAGCACUUUCAGUGAGGAAGAACGCCUGGUGGUUAAUACCCAUCAGGAAAGACAUCACUCACAGAAGAAGCACCCGCUAACUCCGUGCCAGCAGCCGCGGUAAUACGGAGGGUGAGCGCGUUAAUCGGAAUUACUGGGCGUAAAGCGCGCGUAGGUGGCUUGAUAAGCCGGUUGUGAAAGCCCCGGGCUCAACCUGGGAACGGCAUCCGGAACUGUCAAGCUAGAGUGCAGGAGAGGAAGGUAGAAUUGCCGGUGUAGCGGUGAAAUGCGUAGAGAUCGGGAGGAAUACCAGUGGCGAAGGGGGCCUUAGGGACUGACACUGACACUGAGGUGCGAAAGCGUGGGUAGCAAACAGGAGUAGAUACCCCAGUAGUC
rnacentral:rRNA from 1 species